rnacentral:rRNA from 1 species
UACGAAGGGGGGCUAGCGUUGCUCGGAAUCACUGGGCGUAAAGCGCACGUAGGCGGCUUUGUAAGUUAGAGGUGAAAGCCCAGAGCUCAACUCUGGAACUGCCUUUAAGACUGCAUCGCUUGAAUCAUGGAGAGGUUAGUGGAAUUCGAGUGUAGAGGUGAAAUUCGUAGAUAUUCGGAAGAACACCAGUGGCGAAGGCGACUAACUGGACAUGUAUUGACGCUGAGGUGCGAAAAGCGUGGGGAGCAAACAGG